rnacentral:rRNA from 1 species
GAUGAACGCUAGCUACAGGCUUAACACAUGCAAGUCGAGGGGCAGCAUGGUCUUAGCUUGCUAAGGCCGAUGGCGACCGGCGCACGGGUGAGUAACACGUAUCCAACCUGCCGUCUACUCUUGGACAGCCUUCUGAAAGGAAGAUUAAUACAAGAUGGCAUCAUGAGUCCACAUGUUCACAUGAUUAAAGGUAUUCCGGUAGACGAUGGGGAUGCGUUCCAUUAGAUAGUAGGCGGGGUAACGGCCCACCUAGUCUUCGAUGGAUAGGGGUUCUGAGAGGAAGGUCCCCCACAUUGGAACUGAGACACGGUCCAAACUCCUACGGGAGGCAGCAGUGAGGAAUAUUGGUCAAUGGGCGAGAGCCUGAACCAGCCAAGUAGCGUGAAGGAUGACUGCCCUAUGGGUUGUAAACUUCUUUUAUAAAGGAAUAAAGUCGGGUAUGGAUACCCGUUUGCAUGUACUUUAUGAAUAAGGAUCGGCUAACUCCGUGCCAGCAGCCGCGGUAAUACGGAGGAUCCGAGCGUUAUCCGGAUUUAUUGGGUUUAAAGGGAGCGUAGAUGGAUGUUUAAGUCAGUUGUGAAAGUUUGCGGCUCAACCGUAAAAUUGCAGUUGAUACUGGAUAUCUUGAGUGCAGUUGAGGCAGGCGGAAUUCGUGGUGUAGCGGUGAAAUGCUUAGAUAUCACGAAGAACUCCGAUUGCGAAGGCAGCCUGCUAAGCUGCAACUGACAUUGAGGCUCGAAAGUGUGGGUAUCAAACAGGAUUAGAUACCCUGGUAGUCCACACGGUAAACGAUGAAUACUCGCUGUUUGCGAUAUACAGCAAGCGGCCAAGCGAAAGCGUUAAGUAUUCCACCUGGGGAGUACGCCGGCAACGGUGAAACUCAAAGGAAUUGACGGGGGCCCGCACAAGCGGAGGAACAUGUGGUUUAAUUCGAUGAUACGCGAGGAACCUUACCCGGGCUUAAAUUGCAGAUGAAUUACGGUGAAAGCCGUAAGCCGCAAGGCAUCUGUGAAGGUGCUGCAUGGUUGUCGUCAGCUCGUGCCGUGAGGUGUCGGCUUAAGUGCCAUAACGAGCGCAACCCUUGUUGUCAGUUACUAACAGGUUCCGCUGAGGACUCUGACAAGACUGCCAUCGUAAGAUGUGAGGAAGGUGGGGAUGACGUCAAAUCAGCACGGCCCUUACGUCCGGGGCUACACACGUGUUACAAUGGGGGGUGCAGAGGGCCGCUACCACGCGAGUGGAUGCCAAUCCCAAAAACCUCUCUCAGUUCGGACUGGAGUCUGCAACCCGACUCCACGAAGCUGGAUUCGCUAGUAAUCGCGCAUCAGCCACGGCGCGGUGAAUACGUUCCCGGGCCU